CCUACGGGGGGCUGCAGUGGGGAAUUUUGCGCAAUGGGCGAAAGCCUGACGCAGCAACGCCGCGUGAGUGAUGAAGGCUUUCGGGUCGUAAAGCUCUGUCAGGGGGAAAGAAGUGUAUUGUGGUUAAUACCCAUGAUACUUGACGGUACCCCCAAAGGAAGCACCGGCUAACUCCGUGCCAGCAGCCGCGGUAAUACGGGGGGUGCGAGCGUUGUUCGGAAUUAUUGAGCGUAAUGGGCAAGUCUGAGGUGAAAGCCCCGGGCUCAACCUGGGAAGUGCAUUGGAAACUGGCAGACUUGAAUACGGGAGAGGGUAGUGGAAUUCCUGGUGUAGGAGUGAAAUCCGUAGAUAUCAGGAGGAACACCGGUGGCGAAGGCGGCUGCCUGGACCGAUAUUGACGCUGAGACGCGAAAGCGUGGGUAGCAAACAGGAUUAGAUACCCUAGUAGUC
rnacentral:rRNA from 1 species